rnacentral:rRNA from 1 species
UAGGGAAUCUUCGGCAAUGGACGAAAGUCUGACCGAGCAACGCCGCGUGAGUGAAGAAGGUUUUCGGAUCGUAAAACUCUGUUGUUAGAGAAGAACAAGGACGUUAGUAACUGAACGUCCCCUGACGGUAUCUAACCAGAAAGCCACGGCUAACUACGCGCCAGCAGCCGCGGUAAUACGUAGGUGGCAAGCGUUGUCCGGAUAUAUUGGGCGUAAAGCGAGCGCAGGCGGUUUGUUAAGUCUGAUGUGAAAGCCCCCGGCUCAACCGGGGAGUGUCAUUGGAAACUGAGAGACUUGAGUGCAGAAGAGGAGAGUGGAAUUCCAUGUGUAGCGGUGAAAUGCGUAGAUAUAUGGAGGAACACCAGUGGCGAAGGCGGCUCUCUGGUCUGUAACUGACGCUGAGGCUCGAAAGCGUGGGGAGCAAACAGG